rfam:Micromonas sp. RCC299 mitochondrion, complete genome.
GGGAAAGUAGCUUAAUGGUAGAGUCCUGGCCUGUCACGCCAGUGGGUGCGGGUUCAAGUCCCGUUUUUCCCG